GGAAGGAAACUGACAAAGCUUGUGAAAUCCCAAACCGGAUUGAUGUGCUGUGACCCCUGUACCAUUCGGGCUGUCAAGAUUAAAGGAGCCUCCACUCUGUUUCGAAACUGCAACUCUUGUCCCCCAGACCUCAUCAACCCCACCUGCCACAAGUCAACCACUCAUCAUAAGGUGGGCAAACCCCUCGGUCCACAUUUAAAUUUGUUUGUGUGACAAAUUGUCCUGCAGUUCCACCCUCUUAGCUACUGUAACCAGCA
rnacentral:lncRNA from 1 species